GAUGAACGCUGGCGGCGUGCCUAAUACAUGCAAGUCGAGCGAACAGACGAGGAGCUUGCUCCUCUGACGUUAGCGGCGGACGGGUGAGUAACACGUGGAUAACCUACCUAUAAGACUGGGAUAACUUCGGGAAACCGGAGCUAAUACCGGAUAAUAUAUUGAACCGCAUGGUUCAAUAGUGAAAGACGGUUUUGCUGUCACUUAUAGAUGGAUCCGCGCCGCAUUAGCUAGUUGGUAAGGUAACGGCUUACCAAGGCAACGAUGCGUAGCCGACCUGAGAGGGUGAUCAGCCACACUGGAACUGAGACACGGUCCAGACUCCUACGGGAGGCAGCAGUAGGGAAUCUUCCGCAAUGGGCGAAAGCUUGACGGAGCAACGCCGCGUGAGUGAUGAAGGUCUUCGGAUCGUAAAACUCUGUUAUUAGGGAAGAACAACUGUGUAAGUAACUAUGCACGUCUUGACGGUACCUAAUCAGAAAGCCCCGGCUAACUACGUG
rnacentral:rRNA from 1 species